UGGAUCAGAACGAACGCUGGCGGCGUGCUUAACACAUGCAAGUCGAGCGGAAAGGCCCUUCGGGGUACUCGAGCGGCGAACGGGUGAGUAACACGUGAGCAACCUGCCCUCAGACUCUGGGAUAGCUCCCGGAAACGCGAAUCAAUACCGGAUAUGACCCUGCCCGACAUAUGUCAGGGUGGAAAGUUUCUCGGAUGAGGAUGGACUCGCGGCAUAUCAGCUAGAUGGUGGGGUAACGGCCCACCAAGGUGAUGACGGGUAGGUGGUUUGAGAGGACGGCCAGCCACAUUGGGAUUGAGACACGGCCCAGAGUCCUACGGGAGGCAGCAGUGG
rnacentral:rRNA from 1 species